rnacentral:rRNA from 1 species
CCUACGGGAGGCAGCAGUGGGGAAUAUUGGGCAAUGGGCGAAAGCCUGACCCAGCAACGCCGCGUGAAGGAAGAAGGCUUUCGGGUUGUAAACUUCUUUUGACAGGGAAGAGCAGAAGACGGUACCUGUCGAAUAAGCCACGGCUAACUACGUGCCAGCAGCCGCGGUAAUACGUAGGUGGCAAGCGUUGUCCGGAUUUACUGGGGGUAAAGGGCGUGUAGCCGGGCUGACAAGUCAGAUGUGAAAUCCGGGGGCUCAACCCCCGAACUGCAUUUGAAACUGUUGGUCUUGAGUAUCGGAGAGGCAGGCAGAAUUCCUAGUGUAGCGGUGAAAUGCGUAGAUAUUAGGAGGAACACCAGUGGCGAAGGCGGCAAUCUGGCUGGAAACUGACGCUGAGGUGCGAAAGCGUGGGUAGCAAACAGGAUUAGAUACCCGAGUAGUC